GCAUCUUUAGCUUAAUUGGAAAAGCAUUGAUUUUCUAAAUCAAUAAAUAUAGGUUCGAGUCCUAUAAGAUGUA
rnacentral:tRNA from 1 species